UAUCACUAAGCGGAGGAAAAGAAACUAACCAGGAUUCCCUGAGUAAUGGCGAAUGAACAGGGAAAAGCCCAGCACCGAAGCCUGUGGCCGUUUGGUUACUAGGCAAUGUGGUGUUUAUGUCGUUUCGCAGAGUAACUGCUCCAUCCCAAGUCCAGCAAUGAGUACGGCAUCAUGGACGUGGCCCACAGAGGGUGAAAGGCCCGUGGGGGUGGAGGCUCGAUUGGCCAGUUGCUCUCUGAACAGACAUUGGAGUCGGGUUGUUUGAGAAUGCAGCCCAAAGCGGGUGGUAAACUCCAUCCAAGGCUAAAUACAAGCACGAGUCCGAUAGCGAACAAGUACCGUGAGGGAAAGUUGAAAAGUACUUUGAAGAGAGAGUAAACAGUGCGUGAAACCGCUCAGAGGUAAACGGGUAGAGUUGAACUGCAAUCCCUGGGGAUUCAGCUGGUGAGCAUGUUUUGAGCUCGGUCAAAUUUGUCGUUCUGCGGGGUCUGCCAGGGGGCAGGUCUUCAUCCUUUGGGUGGAGAUGGGCUAGCGUUUAUCAUACGCUGUCCGCCUCGGGAAGACGGGCUGGCUUGCCAGUGCACUUUCCCAGGGUGGUCACCACGACCGGUAUUGCGAUCUGGCUGCUGUGCUUAAACCGGCGUUGUAUUGUCCUUGUGGCUUUAUGGCGCCGGGAUGGCAGGUAGCUCGUUAGUGUUCUGGGGCUUGCUCCAGACGCUCUCGGGUGUAAUCAGCUGAGCAUGGUAGUUCUGUGUUGUGUGCCGGAGAUUGCGGCUAGUGGUGUGUGCAUGCAUGCCGUCUUGUCGACAGGUUCGGGUGUGAUCGCCGUGUUGCCUAUCAAAAGUAGGCCCGGUGGUGGCUCGGGUUUGUUCGGUGAGUGGUUGUGUGUGUGACACUUUCCAGGGCCAACAGUCUGUGGUGUAGUGGUAGACUUUCUACCUGACCCGUCUUGAAACACGGACCAAGGAGAGUAACAUGUGCGCGAGUCAUUGGGUCGAACGAAACCCAAAGGCGCAGUGAAAGUAAAUGCCUGUCUCGUCCAGGCUGAGGUGAGAUGCUGCCGUGCCUCAUACAUGGUACUUCCGAGCAUUGAGCGGUAGCCGCAUCACCGGCCCGUCCCAUGAUGUAGACACAUAGUCCGUGGACCAGUGCAUCAUCGGGGCGGAGCAUGAGCGCACAUGUUGAGACCCGAAAGAUGGUGAACUAUGCUUGCGCAGGUUGAAGCCAGAGGAAACUCUGGUGGAGGACCGCAGCGAUUCUGACGUGCAAAUCGAUCGUCAAACGUGAGUAUAGGGGCGAAAGACUAAUCGAACCAUCUAGUAGCUGGUUCCCUC
rnacentral:rRNA from 1 species